rnacentral:tRNA from 2 species
GCAAAUGUAGUUCAAUGGUAGAACUCCAGCCUUCCAAGCCUGGUCAUGCGGGUUCGAUUCCCGUCAUUUGCUCCA